rnacentral:rRNA from 1 species
UAGGGAAUCUUCCACAAUGGACGAAAGUCUGAUGGAGCAACGCCGCGUGAGUGAAGAAGGGUUUCGGCUCGUAAAACUCUGUUGUUAAAGAAGAACAUAUCUGAGAGUAACUGUUCAGGUAUUGACGGUAUUUAACCAGGAAGCCACGGCUAACUACGUGCCAC